AGCGAACGCUGGCGGCAGGCCUAAUACAUGCAAGUCGAACGCCGUAGCAAUACGGAGUGGCAGACGGGUGAGUAACGCGUGGGAAUCUUCCUAAUGGUACGGAAUAGCCCGGGGAAACCCGGAGUAAUACCGUAUACUCCCGUGAGGGGAAAGAUUUAUCGCCAUUAGAUGAGCCCGCGUCGGAUUAGCUAGUUGGUGGGGUAACGGCCUACCAAGGCAACGAUCCGUAGCUGGUCUGAGAGGAUGAUCAGCCACACUGGGACUGGGACACGGCCCAGACUCCUACGGGAGGCAGCAGUAGGGAAUAUUGGACAAUGGGCGCAAGCUUGAUCCAGCCAUGCCGCGUGAGUGAUGAAGGCCUUCGGGUUGUAAAGCUCUUUUGGCGGGGACGAUAAUGACGGUACCCGCAGAAUAAGCCCCGGCUAACUUCGUGCCAGCAGCCGCGGUAAAAC
rnacentral:rRNA from 1 species